GGGGAAUAUUGCACAAUGGGGGAAACCCUGAUGCAGCGACGCCGCGUGGAGGAAGAAGGUCUUCGGAUUGUAAACUCCUGUUGUUGGGGAAGAUAAUGACGGUACCCAACAAGGAAGUGACGGCUAACUACGUGCCAGCAGCCGCGGUAAAACGUAGGUCACAAGCGUUGUCCGGAAUUACUGGGUGUAAAGGGAGCGCAGGCGGGAAGACAAGUUGGAAGUGAAAUCUAUGGGCUCAACCCAUAAACUGCUUUCAAAACUGUUUUUCUUGAGUAGUGCAGAGGUAGGCGGAAUUCCCGGUGUAGCGGUGGAAUGCGUAGAUAUCGGGAGGAACACCAGUGGCGAAGGCGGCCUACUGGGCACCAACUGACGCUGAGGCUCGAAAGUGUGGGUAGCAAACAGGAUUAGAUACCCUGGUAGUCCACACCGUAAACGAUGAUUACUAGGUGUUGGAGGAUUGACCCCUUCAGUGCCGCAGUUAACACAAUAAGUAAUCCACCUGGGGAGUACGACCGCAAGGUUGAAACUCAAAGGAAUUGACGGGGGCCCGCACAAGCAGUGGAGUAUGUGGUUUAAUUCGACGCAACGCGAAGAACCUUACCAAGUCUUGACAUCCCUUGACAGGCAUAGAAAUAUGUAAUCUCUUCGGAGCAAGGAGACAGGUGGUGCAUGGUUGUCGUCAGCUCGUGUCGUGAGAUGUUGGGUUAAGUCCCGCAACGAGCGCAACCCUUAUGGUCAGUUACUACGCAAGAGGACUCUGGCCAGACUGCCGUUGACAAAACGGAGGAAGGUGGGGAUGACGUCAAAUCAUCAUGCCCCUUAUGAUUUGGGCUACACACGUGCUACAAUGGCGUAAACAAAGGGAAGCGAGAUCGUGAGAUGGAGCAAAUCCCAAAAAUAACGUCCCAGUUCGGACUGUAGUCUGCAACCCGACUACACGAAGCUGGAAUCGCUAGUAAUCGCGGAUCAGAAUGCCGCGGUGAAUACGUUCCCG
rnacentral:rRNA from 1 species